rnacentral:sRNA from 1 species
UCUCCUUCUCCUCCUCCUCCUCCCACCUCCCUCCACCUCCCAUCUCAGCUGCGGCUAAAACCUGGAGUCUUGGGGAAAAGGAGAAGAAAAAAAAAAAAAAAAAAAAAACUCGGCUGUGAAGCUGUCAAACCGGGCAUGCUCAGUA